rnacentral:rRNA from 1 species
AUACCCUAUUAUUUUAAAUGUAAAUAUUAACCUGAGUAAUAUUAGCUAUGGUCUUUAAACUUAAAGAAUUUGGCGGUAUUAUAGUCUGUUUAGGGGAAUCUGUUAUGUAAUCGAUAUUCCGCGUUGAAUCUUACUUUUAAAAUUUCUUGUAUAUCGCUGUUUAUGAAUAUGUUUUUAGAUUUAUUUUCUUAAUUAUUUAUUAUUAAAUAUUUCAAGUCAAGGUGCAGUUAUUUUGAAGUUGAAUAAUGGAUUACAAUAGAAAUUAUUUAAAUGGAUUGUUUAUUAAAUUUUAAUAUGAAGGUGGACUUAAAUGUAAUUUUUUGAAGAUUGUUUAAAUGAUUUAAAGCUCUAUAAUAUGUASACAUCGC